rnacentral:misc_RNA from 1 species
GUAAGAAAGGAUAAGGAAGAGGAAAGGUAAGGAAUGUUACAAUAAAAAUAAUUUCAUAUUUGGGAAGGGGUGAGUUAAUGGAAAAGUAAAGAUAGGUAAUUUUUAUUUUUCAUGUUUGAAAAGAGAUGAAUGAAGGGUAAAGGGCGUAUAAAUAAAAAUAAUUAUAGUUCUCACCUCCCAUCCUUACCCUUCCUUACACCUCAGUUUGAGGGGUAAAGAAGGCUAAGACUUAUCCUCACUUGCUCUUAUGCUCCAUUAAAUCACCCAUUCCCAAAAGGGGAGACAAAACUCGCUUACCCCUCCUUACUUUUAUUUACCCCUCCUUCACCGUAAUCCAAACAUAUCCCAAACCAUGCCAAUCUACAUACAACCUCGCGUUUGUUUUACUUGACAUCAUU